rnacentral:rRNA from 1 species
GAUUAGCUAGUUGGUGGGGUAACGGUCCACCAAGGCGACGAUCAGUAGCUGGUCUGAGAGGAUGAUCA